UCAGACUCAUGUCUCGACUGGUGAAUUUCAUGGAGAAUUCCACUUUGAUCUGGUGGGGAGUAAGGCAGGGCCACCAAGUUACAGAUGCUACCAUGACUCCAGCCUGACUUCCAUGGGCAGACAAUCUCAUUGAUGUAGCCUGGAACUCCACCCCUCCAGAGCCCUGCCCAACUAGGAAAAAAUAGAAACAGGCUGGAAGUAUGGAUCGACCUGCCAACGCCCAUUACCAGUGGAGAAGCAAUUACAGAAGUCAGACCUUCCACCUUCUGCACCCCAUAAUGACCCUGGGUCCAUGCUCCCAGAGGGAUAAAGAAAAGGAAAGCUUUCAAGGGAGGGCAAGAACUGCCACCUGGCUUGUGACAGGCUCUGCAACCUAGCCAUUAGAGCCUUUCGCUUCCUCAACACCUACACCACCAGCACAUCGAAGGCCUCUCCGGUGGCCACA